GACGAACGCUGGCGGCGUGCUUAACACAUGCAAGUCGAACGGAAAGGCCCUGCUUGCAGGGUGCUCGAGUGGCGAACGGGUGAGUAACACGUGGGUGAUCUGCCCCUUACUUUGGGAUAAGCCUGGGAAACUGGGUCUAAUACUGAAUAGGACCAUGCUGUAGGUGGUGUGGUGGAAAGAUUAGUUUCGGUAAGGGAUGAGCUCGCGGCCUAUCAGCUUGUUGGUGGGGUAAUGGCCUACCAAGGCGUCGACGGGUAGCCGGCCUGAGAGGGUGGACGGCCACAUUGGGACUGAGAUACGGCCCAGACGCCUACGGGAGGCAGCAGUGGGGAAUAUUGCACAAUGGGCGCAAGCCUGAUGCAGCGACGCCGCGUGGGGGAUGACGGCCUUCGGGUUGUGAACUCCUUUCAGCCAUGACGAAGCCCUUGUGGUGACGGUAGUGGUAGAAGAAGCACCGGCUAACUACGUG
rnacentral:rRNA from 1 species